rnacentral:rRNA from 1 species
CAAAGAAAGGCUCUCUCAUCUUUGAUCCACCUUGUUGGAUGGGAGAUUUGGAAAGAAAAAAACGCACGUGUCUUUAGAAAUAAAACGGCACCGGUGGCCGUGAUUGUUAGCCUUAUUAAAGAUGAGGCAUCCCUUUGGGCUAUUGCGGGUGCCAAGUAUUUGAGUAAUGUAAUGUCGCGCGAGUAA